AAUCGAUCAAAGAAAAUAACAUCAAGAAUCAAAAACUGCUGUUUCUAAAGGAAUGAGUGAUACAGAUUAAAAAAACACCAUUCAAUGGAUAUAAAGGUCUUCUCUUUGUGGAACUGCAAUAUCUAAGAAAGAUGAUGAAAGCGAUCAAGAGGCUACUUGAUUUCGAUUUUCAGGUCAUCUUACUAUGGAUUCAUGUAUUAUUAAAGUUCUGCCAUAUAACCAUCAAGGAAGUUUUCAUAGUUUGAUAUUUGGAUCCAGAAAGGAUUUGGUUAUUCUCAAAGGUCUGUAUACGGUUUUCGGAAUCUCUCCUCCGCCACCACUUGCACAAUUUUUAAACAGAGGUCUUCACACUCUGUCUUUGCCAGAAACGGCCAAGCCGGAGGUCGCAACUAUCUGCAAAAUUAUUGCAUGGAUGAACUUUGUGCUUCUUCCUCCGUCAUCAGAUAUGAUGAACUUUGUUUUUCCAGUUCAUGGUUUAAGCCUUUAAGUAGCAGGGCUACUGAAAGUAUGUUACUGAAACAUUCAGAGUUCACUACAGGAACAAGAAAGGUACACGUUUAAUUGCUAGAAGUCAUGAAGGUUGGGUUUCUUUGACACAAGAUCAAAAUCCAUGAGCUUUAGCGUUUGGAUCUGGCUAUUUUUGGGAAAGAAUGAUGGAGAUGUUAUGAUGUAUCAUGAUCGUACUCUGGUUAUACACAAAUGGUGAUGAUUCUGGGUUCUCUAAACGAAUCAUACAAGGUGAUGAUUCUGGGUUCUCUAAAGGAAUGGCGUUUUAAUGAUUCAAUAUGAUUCUGGGUUCUCUAAAGGAAUCAUAUGAGGUCAGUUAUGGUUAUGGAUUGUUGUUUUUGAACGGAACAUAUAUGUAUUGUAGUUGCUGGUAAAAAUAUAGUUAUGGGGUGGGUGAUGUAUAGGGAUUCUCUAGGUAUGGAAGUUAUUGGAGUUGUCGCUUUAAGGUCUGCUCUAGGUUAUGGUCUUUUGGCCUUUACUUAUCAAACGAUGCAGAAUG